GAUGAACGCUGGCGGUGUGCCUAAUACAUGCAAGUCGAGCGAACAGACGAGGAGCUUACUCCUCUGACGUUAGCGGCGGACGGGUGAGUAACACGUGGAUAACCUACCUAUAAGACUGGGAUAACUUCGGGAAACCGGAGCUAAUACCGGAUAACAUGUUGAACCGCAUGGUUCAACAGUGAAAGACGGUCUUGCUGUCACUUAUAGAUGGAUCCGCGUCGCAUUAGCUAGUUGGUAAGGUAAAGGCUUACCAAGGCAACGAUGCGUAGCCGACCUGAGAGGGUGAUCGCCCACGUUGGAACUGAAACACGGUCAGAACUCCAACGGGAGGCAGAAGUAGGGAAUCUUCCGCAAUGGGCGAAAGCCUGACGGAACAACGCGGCGUGAGUGAAGAAGGUCUUCGGAUCGUAAAACUCUGUUAUUAGGGAAGAACAAAUGUGUAAGUAACUAUGCACGUCUUGACGGUACCUAAUCAGAAAGCCACGGCUAACUACGUG
rnacentral:rRNA from 1 species